ACCUCCUCAAUCUCCUUAUACCUCCUCCGCGACCUCACAACCUCCUCCUCAAUAUUAGCGAAAUCCAUAUAAAAUCCCUAACGCCUGAAGUAAUAGAUAUAGCUGAAAAGCAGGCAUAUGAAAAUCUCUAUUUACGGUGGUGGCUGGUAUAUAGUUGCAAAGUUAGGGGUUAAUAGAGUCAUUCAUUGGGAAGAAAUUGUUAUUAAUUGUUUUCAUUAUUUUAGUACUCGUGGUAACAUUAUUAUAGUACCAAAAAGAGAUAAAUGAAAAUAAUGGUCACUGCGCAUGCGUCAGAGAGCAGGCAAGAUGGCGGCCGGUGAGGGUACAAGGUGGGUGCCCGCUGUCAUUUAUCGGGUAUUAUGUCUUUUUAAUGUGUCCCACUUCAUCAUGGCGACGCAGGGUCAGGCGAGAACGCUCCACCUCACUGCCGAGGACUAAAUCACCUCUCAAGGAUGCUCUUGCAAUGCAGCUUGGCACAGCAACCUGCCCCCCCCACUCCCUGGUGCUCCUCAAGGAUGUGGGUGGCAUCUGGUGACUAGACAAUGGCUGAAAAUUUUAGUUGACAGAAACAGGACUGGAAUUUGAGACCUAUUGCUCACCACAUCUGGACCUUGAAUCCUGUCACUGUCUGCCUGCUCACUCGUCAUCCGCAAGUAAUGUCUGGGAUACGCCCAAUGCCUCUCACAGUAUGGAUCGCCAAAAAAGUUUGUGAGGAGCCAGUGAUGUCCUGCAGUGCUUUCAAUGUAUGAGUUAUGGCCAGUCUGAGAGGGUCAACACUAGUCACCUUUUAUCUCAACACACACAUACACAUACAUCCGGGUAGGCGGUGGCCGAAGUGGUAGCGUACUGGGCCCACAUUCACCGCAUGAUGGACGACGCGGGUUCGAAUCCCCACGCUACCACUCGGAUUUUUCAGUCACCGCCGAGUGGCUUAAAACUACCCACAUGCUGUCCUGAAGACCACCCAUCAACCCGGACUCUAGAGGAAGCCGUCCAAGCGAAUCAAGAAUGAGUUCCUGGGGGCAGCAUGAGCCAAUGCAAGAUGGCGCCACUAUAAACACUCGCCUGCGCCAGAACGGGCUGGGCCGACCAUCAGGCCCAACCUGGAAGAAGCCUUGGGCCGACCAUCAGGCCCCACCAGGAAGAUGCCUACCGGCGCAACAGGCAGCGACAGGAUUGUGUGCAUCACCCUGUUCUGAUGUCUGCCCUUGGGAACUUGUCUAGGUAGAGGCUGCAGCACUCCUCGCUCCGGUCAGCACACUGUCCAAGCAUGCCGCAAUCCCCUCGUCCUCCCAGCUUUUUUUCCUCCAAGAUAUCUCCUGAAGUUUGACAGGCUUUUGGGGUGUAUUAUUCCACCACUGCACCGAAGGACUCUGGGGAGGCGGUGGCUGAGUGGAUAGUGUGAUGGCACCGCGCCCAGGACGACGCGGGUUCACACCCCGCCCGGUACAAUAAGCUGGGAUUUUUCAGUCAACACCGAGUGGCCUAAGACUACAUGCUGUCCAGAAGACCACCUAUCAACUCGGACUCUAGAUUCUAGGAUUAAAGAUGAGCCCCAGGGUACAGCAUGAGCCUGUGCAAGAUGGCACCACUAUAAAAACACUUGCCUGUGCCAUGAUGGGCCGGGGCCGACCAUCAAGCCCCAUCAAGAAAGCCCAUCGGUGCCAUAGGCGAAUAUGAAAAAAAAAAUUGCACAAGAACAGACUACUUAUUUGAAUACUGUGACACCUGAAAAGAUAACAUUUGCUGCCAAUAUGUAAAGUAUUCCAGCUCUGCAAUUUAUGAAAGUACAGGAAGCAAGCUAGGAAAUAUACCUUGAAACCAGGGUUGGCGGUUUAAACCAAAUGGUUUAAACCAUGAUUUAAACCAAUAAAAAAAACUGGUUUAAACCAACUAAUAAAACUUUUUUUUUUUCUUUUGUGUGUAUCUUUGUUAGUUUCAUCAGUAUUGUGGUUUUAACUAUAUGUAAGAAUUAUGUACAGCAGGGUUGGCGGUUUAAACCAGGGGUGUCAAACUCAAAACCCUUGGAGGGCCAAUUCAUACUCUGAAGUGCUAUCAUGGGAGCCAACAAGGGUAGAAAAUACAUUGACAAGAUUGAAGCUACCAUGAUCCCGCGGGCCAUGAGUUUGACACCCCUGGUUUAAACCAAAAAAACAAUCAAUAAAACCAGUGUUUUUUGUGAAUCUUUUUUAGUUUCAUCAGGUAUUGUGGUUUUAAUUAUAUGUGGUUUUAUUAUUUAUUAUUUUGCACAAAUCAUGAAAAUUGCACCUUGUCCUGUAUGAUAGGCAUUGUAGUUUUGUUGCAAUAAAUGAGCUGAAUACUGCA